rnacentral:rRNA from 1 species
CAUCGCCUCCUGCAAAAAUCAACGUAUAAGAGGUCCUACCUGCCCAGUGACUAAGUUAAACGGCCGCGGUAUUUUGACCGUGCAAAGGUAGCGCAAUCACUUGUCUUUUAAAUAAAGACCUGUAUGAAUGGUGAAACGAGGGCUUAACUGUCUCCCUUUUCUAAUCAGUGAAAUUGAUCUGCCCGUGCAGAAGCGGGUAUAAAUAUACAAGACGAGAAGACCCUAUGGAGCUUUAGACAUAAAGCCAUCUAUGUUAAAAAUCCCUUAUAAAAGGAGCAAAACAAAAUAGUAACUGGCCAACGUCUUCGGUUGGGGCGACCACGGGGAAAAGCAAAUCCCCCACGUGGAACGGGAAAACCUCCUAAAACCACGAGGUACACCUCUAAGUCACAGUAUUUCUGACCAAAGGAUCCGGCACUUAGCCGAUCAACGAACCAAGUUACCCUAGGGAUAACAGCGCAAUCCCCUUCGAGAGUCCUUAUCGACAAGGGGGUUUACGACCUCGAUGUUGGAUCAGGACAUCCUAAUGGUGCAGCCGCUAUUAAGGGUUCGUUUGUUCAACGAUUAAAGUCCUACGUGAUCU